GCAAGAUACACUUAAAAGGAAUUGUUAACACUUUGAUUUCAAUAACUCUUGUGUUUUCUCAGUGAUUUUACCAUUUUGGUUUUGGGUGAAACAGAGGGUGCAGUUUACGGAAAGGAGGGAUAGGAGGAAGAACCAUUUUAAGCAUGUGAGGUACUUGCAUUAGAGGUACACCAGCUGACCCAUAGCCACGCCUCCUAUGCAUGUGGCACUCAGUUUCCUUUCCCAAGAAGGCUUAGGCAUUUUUGCACCACCCAGUUCUAGAGAGAGCGGAGGUAAAUGAGACAACGCUGAAGAUCCCAAGGGGAUGAUUUCCUCCACAAAACUGUAACAGAGAAAAAGUGAUGUACUCAUGUUGUGGAAAGGAGUUCAUUCCUUCUCCUACCUGUGUUUAUUUUCUGUUGAUUGGCUGUGGUUAGGAGGGUGGUAGCUCUUCACUGUAAUUCACACUCUGCCUGAGUCCAGAUUGUUCUUGGCCCCAGCUGGAAGCGUACUUAUUGUGUCAGCAAGAAUCCAGUGGGCUCUGGAGUGUGACCUGCUACUGGAUGGGCAACUGAUGGUCAGACUCCAGUGGUUCUUCAAAACUUUCUAGGAGGUAAACAAGAUGAAAGGGAAAGCACACAAAUUUGCUGGAAUUUGGAAAACACGAACCCUGGAAUUUGGAGGAGUCACUUCCACUGGAAAAUACUUUUAUAUUAUUUAUAGUGGCUACCAUUACCGUGCUCACUUUACAGGUGAGGUUCAGAGAUUUAUGUAACAUGCCAAAGGUCACACAGCUGGACACAGCAGAACCAAGAUUCAAAUCUGCACAGGGCUACUGCAACAAAUUACUACAAACUGGGUGGCUUAAAACAACAGAAAAAUUAUUCUCUCAAAGUUCUGGGGACCAGAAGUCCGAAAUCAAGGAACUGGCAGGGCGGUACUCCUCCUGAAGGCUCAAAAGGACAAUCCUUUCCUGCCUCUGCCAGCUGCUAGUGGCUCCGGGAGUCCCUGGUUUGUGGCUGCAUUACUCUGGUCUCUGCCUUGUCUUCUCGUGGCCUUCUUCCCAGUGUCUUCCCAUUUCUGUUUCCUAUUAGGACCCUAUCAUUGGAUUUAGGGCCCUCACACUAAUCUACAGUGAUCUCAUCUCAAGAUCCUUACCUAUAUUAUAUCUGUAAAGACUCUUAUGUCAAAUAAGGUCCCCUUCUGAGAUUCUGGGUGUUAAGACUUGGACAUAUAUCUUUGAGACCCAAUUCAAUUCACUGCAAAUGUGUUCUUGUUUAUAAGUUACAUUUUUCUCUGAAUAGUACCAUUCCUUAUGGUUAUGGAGUUAAAACACCCUUUCUUUUAUGAAAGGAUAGUAAUUUUGUUUGUAUAUUGUAUUAGCCUGUUCUGACAUUGCUAUAAACAUUGCUAUAAAAAAACUACCAAGACUGGGUAACUUAAAAGAAAAAGGGUUUAAUUGGCUUAUGGUUGUGAAAGCUAUACAGGAAGCAUGGCUCCGGGAGGCCUCAGGAAACUUACAGUCAUGGCAGAAGGGGAGGGUGGAGCCAGCAUGUCCUACGUGGCUGGAGCAAGAGGAAGAGAGAGCAAAGGAGGAUGUUUGAACAACCAGAUCUUGUGAGAAUUUAAUCACUAGAAUGCACUAGGCGGAUGGUGAAAAACCAUUAGAAACCAGCCCCACAAUCCAAUCACCUCCCACCAGGCCCACCUCCAACAUUGGGAAUUACAAUUUAAC
rnacentral:lncRNA from 10 species